CGUGUAGGUGGCCAUUUAAGUUGGAUGUGAAAUCCCUCAGCUCAACUGAGGAACUGCAUUCAAAACUGAAUGGCUAGAGUGUAAAAGGGGAAAGCGGAAUUCCUAGUGUAGCGGUGAAAUGCGUAGAUAUUAGGAGGAACACCGGCGGCGAAAGCGGCUUUCUGGUUUAACACUGACACUGAGGCGCGAAAGCUAGGGGAGCAAACAGGAUUAGAUACCCUGGUAGUCC
rnacentral:rRNA from 1 species